UACGAAGGGAGCUAGCGUUGUUCGGAAUCACUGGGCGUAAAGCGCACGUAGGCGGAUGUGUCAGUCAGGGGUGAAAUCCCGGAGCUCAACUUCGGAACUGCCUUUGAUACAGCACGUCUUGAGUCCGAUAGAGGUGGGUGGAAUUCCUAGUGUAGAGGUGAAAUUCGUAGAUAUUAGGAAGAACGCCGGUGGCGAAGGCGGCCCACUGGAUCGGUACUGACGCUGAGGUGCGAAAGCGUGGGGAGCAAACAGG
rnacentral:rRNA from 1 species